rnacentral:lncRNA from 1 species
AAAAAUUAAAUAACUCAAAACUGUUAAAAAUUAGGUGAUUGAAUCAGUGUUGAGAGGACAUGGUCGAAUUCAUUGCGAAAACCCAUUAAUUCUUGAAAUCUGUUUCACACAUAGUAAAAUCAGAUCAUGAAAUUAAUUGCUAAUUGAAGUGCGGUCCUAUGAGGCUGAAGUAAUUUUGAAAUUGCGGCAGAGAAAUUGAAGACAAUUAUAUCGUUGUGGCAGCCAACAACGACCGACAUUGGGUGGAGCCGAAACUUUAGGAAUUAGGCAAAUGUAAUUAUAUGGGAAAAGGUUGGAAAAAAGUCUGUUUGAUCCGUUGAUUAGCCAUUCGAUCGGAUGCAGCGGGUAACUACUGAUAAGAAAUUGUAAAUUUUGAAUGAAAGAUUUAAUUGUGGUAAUGAAGUUAGGAUUUUUUGUUAUGUUUUUUAUGGAAGAAUUAGAGAAGGGGAGAAUGCUUUCCAGGAAGCAUUGUUUAAUUUCUUUGUUUAAUUAUUGUUACUGGAUUUGUAAUGUAUUUGAACUUGAAAAUAAGAAAACAGUAAGAUUUUGAAUUCGUUGUUGGAGCUUUUAGAAUUUAGAUGUGUUUGGUUAAUACUUAUCUCAUAUUCUCCAGCUGCAAUGCUUCUUUUUUUGAUGUAACAACUCCCAGUUUGUUAUAUUUCUCUAUUAGAUUUUUUAUUGUCAAAGGCUUUAGAUUCUUCCAAUUUCUUUUUUUUUUAUCACUAUUUUUCUCUUUCUAAUACUGAUGAUUUUGGUUUUGGUCUUGUUUUGUUGUUUUAAAAAUUUUCCAACCUAUGUAUUUGAUCAUGGUUUCAUACCGUCAGGUUUUACAGACAAAGAGGACCAAGAAGGCAGAAAUUGUUGGAAAGUAUGGUAUGUAUUAAGGCUAGUUUUAUUCAUUUUUCCGGUUUGUUUAGUGUCCUCAAGUAUAGAUGUUAUGGUAAUAUAGGCUUAGAUUUUUUUUUUCCCUUGGGAUAUUUUUAUAUCAAUAGCAGGUAGAAAUAUUAUAUCUCAUUAAGCUUUGAGCAUGAAUUGUGGGUUAUUGACAUGUUUAUUCAAGAAAGCUUGCUACUGGCAUUAUAUAAAUAGAAAUUUAUAAUAGGAAGCAUAUUAUGAAAAGCCUUGUGGUGGUCUUUCUCUAGCUUCUUGUUAUCCCUAGUUUGAUGCUUUAGUUUCUUUUUGCAUGUGUGGCUUGGGGAUCUUGGAAUUAUAAGUAUUAUUCUUUUCCAAGUACUCAUUAUGGUGCCAGUCUUAAGAAGGUGGAGGUCAGUCAACACAGUAAGUACUUCUGUGAAUUCUAUGGGAAGGUCAUACAUUCCCCUCUUUCCUGCUCUUUAUCAUUUUUCAUUUCUUUUUAUGCUCAUGGUUCAAUGACUGUUCGCUUUUGCUUGUGGAUGUAUUAAAUGUUUACAUAUUCCUUGCUGUAGGAAGUAUGCUGUGAAGAGGAAGGUUGUGGGAAUCUGCGGUUGCAAAGACUCUGGCAAAGUUGAAAGCUGGAGGUGCUUACACUUUGAAGAAACAUUCUCAUUGGCUGUCAUAUUUACUUUUAUAAUUCAAUUUAAAUGAUUCUAGAUUCUGUCCUAUGUUCCUUUUCAGGAUUUCUAGUGCUGUGACCGUGAAAAAUAUCAUUUGGAGGCUGAAGGAGCAGAUUGAGAGUUAAUUUUGUAGCCAAUCUAUCUUUUUUUUUCAUUUAUUUGUGAUGGGAGUAAUUCCUGGGGCAAGAUUGUCUAAAUGGAUUUCUAUACUUGGAUAUUUGGUUUAGAAAGUUUUGAAUUUGAAUCUCUUUAUUAAAUAGAUUUUAAUGGAC